GUGAUUCUGUGUUGUACUUUUUAAAGGAGGGAAAAGUCUUCAAGACUUGAACAAGGAAUCUGGAUCAUCAGUCAAGAUGGUAGGAGAAGUCUAGGAGUCAAAGAGUCUGCUACUUCAUGCAAAUCAUUGCAAAACUCCCCACAGUGUGAUCCAAAUGCUGUUUGUCAGUGUGCCAGUCCAGCCCUUCUCUUCUCAGACGUGGGGACAGGGGAGAGGCUGGCGUGGAGUGGUGUCUGAUGAGACUCGUCACAAUGAACAGACCUUGUUAAUAUCAUCCAAUGCAGAAAUCCCUGUGUUAAACACUGGGGAAAAUAUAAAGAAGAGGAAGUUCAGAUUACAUAAAGAAAAUUCCUUUUCGCCGAUCACAAUUAGUGUACUACGUGACCUGGGAGACGUUAUGUCACAUCCCUCAUCUGUUUUCUUUUGAAGGACCAUAUCAAGAAUUAACUGGGACUCUAGAUCAAUCACCUUGAAAAAAAUCAAAGCUGGGGAAGAAUAUUCUUUGACCACUUUCACUAGAGGAUAAUUUCCAAAAGAGGGUGUCAUUGCUGAACCUGCCUUUGGAAAGAAGUCAAUGGAGCAGAGAUGGACAGAGGAGAGGCCUAGCUAUCUGCUAAAAACAAAUCUUCCAGAGACACUGCUUCUGCAUAUUGCCCAUGUUCUUUGGAACUCGAAUUAUACAUAGAACAUUCUGCCCUAUUAAAAAGAG